AUUAAAGUUGUUCAGUUAAAAAGCUCGUAGUUGGACUUGUGUGCGCUGUCCGCGGGUGGCCUGCGCCCAAAAGGGCGUUUCGGUUCGGCCCCGGUGGCGCCUUGAAAUCUGCAGCUGGGGGGACGUUGGCCUUAACUGGUCGGCGACCGCACGCCGGCUGCUCGGUUACUGUGAGAAAAUUAGAGUGUUCAAGGCAGGCAUUGGGUGCAAUUGAAUACAUUAGCAUGGAAUAAUAAAAUAUGGCUCCUGCCGUAUUUUGUUGGUUUUGACUGGUGGGAGUAAUGAUUGAUAGGGACGGUUGGGGGUGCUAGUAUUGAGCGGCCAGAGGUGAAAUUCAUGGAUUCGCUCAAGACUAACUUAUGCGAAAGCAUUCACCAAGGACGUCCUCUUUAAUCAAGAACGAAAGUUGGGGGAUCGAAGACGAUCAGAUACCGUCGUAGUCUCAACCAUAAACUAUGUCGACUUGGGAUCGGCGGUAGUUUUUUCAUUAAGACACUGUCGGGACCACGGGAGAAAUCAAAGUGUCUGGACUCUGGGGGAAGUAUGGUCGCAAGGCUGAAACUUGAAGGAAUUGACGGAAGGGCACCACCAGGAGUGGAGCCUGCGGCUUAAUUUGACCCAACACGGGGAAACUUACCAGGUCCAGAGAUGUAGAGGAUUGACAGAUUGAAGCUCUUUCUUGAUUACUUCGGUGGUGGUGCAUGGCCGUUCUUAGUUGGUGGAGUGAUUUGUCUGGUUAAUUCCGUUAACGAACGAGACCUCAGCCUGCUAGUGUAGUCGGCUGGAUUGCCUUUGGCGAUCCGUGAUUUCGACUUCUUAGAGGGACAAUCGACGCGCAGUCGAUGGAAGUUUGAGGCAAUAACAGGUCUGUGAUGCCCUUAGAUGUUCUGGCCGCACGCGCGCUACACUGCUGGGCUCAGCGAGUUUUACUUGGCCGAGAGGCCCGGUUAAUCUUGUGAAAUCCCAGCGUGCUUGGGCUCGCCUCCUGCAACUGGAGGCGCCAACGAGGAAUUCCUAGUAGACGCAGGUCAUCAACCUGCAUCGAUUACGUCCCUGCCCUUUGUACACACCGCCCGUCGUUCCAUAAGAGUGAGGCAUCCGGUGAAUUCUCGGGAGAGCCUGGGCGUGGCCAGCAAUGGUCUGCUCGGGUUUGAACUUGCAUAAACUUGGUGCCUAUGAUUAGGG
rnacentral:rRNA from 1 species